rnacentral:tmRNA from 1 species
GGGGGUGAUCGGUUUCGACUUGGGAUGGUCUUCCCAGGGGAAGCGGGUCGAGGAUCCAAGGACAUCUCGUUAACGAUUCUUGGGAAAAUAUAAGUGCCAAUUCAAAUCGCACUGACUUCGCUCUUGCUGCCUAAGCAGUAACCGAAGGGUCAGCUCGGAUGCGUCUUCCGUCCGAUUCCUGGCCUCGUUUAGAAGACUUGCUGGUUUAGCUUUGUUCUUGGGCUAAAUCGGGACUUUUUCGAGAACUGAGCCUGUCUGGGGAUUUGUUGGCGAACAAUCCAGAGGCUGAGAAAAACGACAAGCCAGCUGCACCCGGAGAAUCCCUGUGUCACCUCGUAAGGACGCGGGUUCGAUUCCCGCCACCUCCACUA